GACGAACGCUGGCGGCGUGCUUAACACAUGCAAGUCGAACGGAAAGGCCCUGCUUUUGUGGGGUGCUCGAGUGGCGAACGGGUGAGUAACACGUGAGUAACCUGCCCUUGACUUUGGGAUAACUUCAGGAAACUGGGGCUAAUACCGGAUAGGAGCUCCUGCUGCAUGGUGGGGGUUGAAAGUUUCGGCGGUUGGGGAUGGACUCGCGGCUUAUCAGCUUGUUGGUGGGGUAGUGGCUUACCAAGGCUUUGACGGGUAGCCGGCCUGAGAGGGUGACCGGCCACAUUGGGACUGAGAUACGGCCCAGACUCCUACGGGAGGCAGCAGUGGGGAAUAUUGCACAAUGGGCGGAAGCCUGAUGCAGCAACGCCGCGUGCGGGAUGACGGCCUUCGGGUUGUAAACCGCUUUCGCCUGUGACGAAGCGUGAGUGACGGUAAUGGGUAAAGAAGCACCGGCUAACUACGUG
rnacentral:rRNA from 1 species